rnacentral:rRNA from 1 species
CGGACGGGUGAGUAAUGCUUGGGAAUCUAGCUUAUGGAGGGGGAUAACUACGGGAAACUGUAGCUAAUACCGCGUAAUAUCGGAAGAUUAAAGUAUGGGACCUUCGGGCCACAUGCCAUAGGAUGAGCCCAAGUGGGAUUAGGUAGUUGGUGAGGUAAAGGCUCACCAAGCCGACGAUCUCUAGCUGGUCUGAGAGGAUGACCAGCCACACUGGGACUGAGACACGGCCCAG